AUUGAACGCUGGCGGCAGGCCUAACACAUGCAAGUCGAGCGGAUGAAGGGAGCUUGCUCCUGGAUUCAGCGGCGGACGGGUGUGUAAUGCCUAGGAAUCUGCCUGGUAGUGGGGGAUAACGUCCGGAAACGGGCGCUAAUACCGCAUACGUCCUGAGGGAGAAAGUGGGGGAUCUUCGGACCUCACGCUAUCAGAUGAGCCUAGGUCGGAGUAGCUAGUUGGUGGGGUAAAGGCCUACCAAGGCGACGAUCCGUAACUGGUCUGAGAGGAUGAUCAGUCACACUUGAGCUGAGACACGGUCCAGGCUCCUGCGGGAGGCAGCAGUGGGGAAUAGUGGACAAUGGUCGAAAGCCUGACCCAGCCAUGCCGCGUGUGUGAAGAAGGUCUUCGGAUUGUAAAGCACUUUAUGUUGGGAGGAAGUGCAGUAAGUUAAUACCUUGCUGUAUUGACGUUACCAACAGAAUAAGCACCGGCUAACUACGUG
rnacentral:rRNA from 1 species